rnacentral:lncRNA from 1 species
AAAGAGUAUGAGGAAAAACUGUCCAAAGUUAAAGAAAGCUAUGCCGCUUCGGAGGCCAAACUCAAAGAGAAUGCUGCUGCCCAGGCUGAGAAACUCUCCAAGCUAUCCGAGGAGAAGGAUGAAGCGGUACAGUCUGUAGGGACCUUAGCUGAUGAGAAAGCUAGAUUGGAGAGUGAUGUCACAGAGCUUCAGCUCUAUGCCGCCAACCAAUAUGACGAGGGCUUUUCUUU